rnacentral:rRNA from 1 species
CGAAAUGACUCUCGGCAACGGAUAUCUCGGCUCUCGCAUCGAUGAAGAACGUAGCGAAAUGCGAUACUUGGUGUGAAUUGCAGAAUCCCGUGAACCAUCGAGUCUUUGAACGCAAGUUGCGCCCGAGGCCACUAGGCCGAGGGCACGCCUGCCUGGGUGUCACGC